AUUUAUGAUGACCUUUCCAAAAUAAAGCCAAUACUAUCCAGUACUUCAGUGCCGAGCGCGGAUGCGCGAGGCUACCUUGUAAUCUAAUAAAUCUUACCGUUAAAUAAUAAAUCUUUAGAAAUGCGUAAUACAGCAGAAGCUCACCAUGGGCAAUGUUUCAGAGACCGAGCCUCUAAUGCAACGGCAUUCAGCUGUCCCGAGCAACAAACUUCUAUUAAUGCGUCGAAUUUCCCCUUGUUCCAUAGUUUGACGCCUCGAAGCACUCACUGUAGGGCCCGAAUGGCUCAAAAUAUAUUCGUCAUUUCUGUCAUUAUUCCUGUCUUCUGAUGUGAAAGACUGCAAAUCGCAACGUGUACACUUGCAGAUUCUUACAGCCAAACGAAGCCAGGAACAUGGUUUAUGACGAUUCACUGUGAUACCUGAUGGCAACUUUGCAGUAUGUUGGAAAUAAUUCCAAAAGAACUAGUUUUUCCAGAACCCGCUCAUACCGAAGCAAUCGUGACGCUGACAUUAAAGAAUACCGGAACAAAACGGACAGCCUAUCGAAUAAUGACGUCUGCGCCGCACCGGUUUUCCGUGCGUCCAGUGUUCGGAUUAUUGAAAAGUCAUGGUAUCGCAUCGAUUCUCAUACAGUAUCGCCCGGCUGAUCAUUCCGUCAUAUACCCAGAUUACAAAUUCCGAAUUAAGGCAGCUCCUGCGGACCAUCAGUAUAGUGCAAAUGAUCCCAGUAAUUUUUGGAAUACUAUCCCGCCUGACCAAAUCCUGAUUACCACUAUCAGAUGCACUUUUCCCCAACCGUCUCACCAUGCAUUCUCUGCCAAUAAAAUGCCGUUAGCCACCGUUGCCAUCCUGCCACUGGAAGAAAGUGCAACGGCCAAGUUAGAGGUUUGAGUAGGAAAAUCGCGCCACGAUCAUGCUCCUGAUAACUUUCACCAAGAUUACAGACGCGCUCUCGAAGAUAUUGUCCUGCUGCGAGAAGAGAACGUUCGGUUGCGGGUUCGACAUACAGAAGAUCUGCAUCGAGUCAGAAGAUCGUUGGCACGCUUGCAUACUGCUUCUGGAGACCCUGUAAUCAAUGCAUUUCGUAGCAUUCUUCCGGGUCCUGCUGUUCCAGUCGUCUUUUUCCCUUAUUCAUUGUGGCAGCAACUAGUAACGUGGUUCACCACUUUGCGUGUAGGGGCGUUUACUGUUUUAGUGUUGUUUUUUUGUGCCGGCAUAUUAACUGGAAGUGCUCUUUAUAAAUAAGAAAACAAUGUUUUGAAACAACGCUACAGUGCAGUUGCUGUUAGAAGUCGUGCCGACUGUAGUCGACCGCACAGUUUCUUAAGGAAUCACAUAGCGUACUAGGAACUGCCCCAGCCCUUAUGUUAACGCCCGAAUACAGCGCUCAAGCUUUAAAACUGCCGGCUGCGAGUCGUUUGCUCAAAAAUUAAUUAAGUACAGUACUUCUAUUUAAAUGAAUGAUUAAAUGUAUUUAAUCACAGUUAAUUGUGGGUGCACAUCCCUCCCAUUUUGGGUUUAUGGCCGUUUGUCGGCUUUCACUGGUUCGUUGGGUGGCUUUGUUUCCUCAGAGUCGGAGAUUCUGAGAUGUUUCCUGUGGC